UUGUUCAUCACGAUUUUGAAAUUGGGAUUUUCUGGUCGCAUUAAAUUCUUUUUCUGGUUUGGUUAUUAUUUCAUCAUUCUUAUGUGUAUUUUCAUUUCACUCUUCUGUCUAAUCAAAUGGAUAGCAUCGAAUUGAAUUUUGUGAUUGUGAAAAUAUCAAAUUCACCAUAUACAUAACAUCAUAGCUUUCAAUUCAGUUCUGUCACACAGAAAACAUCAAAUGAUAGAUUUCCAAAAUUGUGUUUGUAUCUCAUUCAUUCAUUCAUAUACAAAAUUUUCACCCAUUUUCCCAUUCAAAGGGAAAACGAAAAUAUUUACAACAUGUCUGCCUAUAUUCUACAAAAUCUCAAUACUAAUCUAUGUUAGUCUCUUUCAGUUACAGAUUUAUAGACCAUUCAAGCAACAAGUAACAUUCAAGAAAACGUCUUCCGUGCAUGGAAUUGUGAGACCGCCCAUUCGAUGAUCAUAUCCAAAUUCUUCCUCUGCUUCACUCAACAAGUUUUGAUAUGAAGGUUUGUUCAAGUAUGACGUGGGAAUCACAAACCGCUUAUUCUCCUCUCCUACGUACACCGCAAGAUAGCCCUUUGCCACUUUUGAUGAUGUUUGCCCAUUGCUACUUAAUGAACCACGUCUUAUAGCUGCAGGAAAAUACAUUAUAGUAUACACUUGUUUGAAUAGUGGAGACUGCUAGGAGCUUAAAGUAAAGGGUUGCCGCGGCGCUAAUUGAGUGCACUGGAAAGAAAGUCCUCGCGAUUGUCGUCUCUACUCUACCACCUUCGUUAAACAUCAAAGGAAAAAUGCUUCAUUCAAAGUUGUUGGUACGUUUUUUUUUUUCAUUUCAUUUUCAUUUCACUUCUACUGACCUUUGCUAAACAAAUUGAAGAUUGGAUUUCGUGGAAGUUGGAAUAGUUGGAGGAGCUUUCUUAUUUAUCAUAGCGUAAAUAUUGCUCUGCCUAGUUGAAGAAAGCUCAAGACAUGUAAACAUGUUGCGAGCUUAGAUACAAGAUAGAUUAUCAACUAUUAGUGUUUGGAUGAAUGCUUUAUUAUGUUAGAGAAAUUUGCAGGAAUAUUCGAGCUAGAUUUUGCUUACAGCCUGUAGCACACCCUUAUGCCAUCAUUAUAAUAUACCAAGGAAAAUUGGAUAUUGUUUCAUUUUUUUUUAUCAAGAACCAGUUUUGUAACUUAUAAAUAGAAGCGUAUAUGAGCCCAUUGAGUUGUGGAAUAUAUUGUGUCAUUAUGAUUAGGAAUAAGUAAUAACAAAUAAUCUCUUCCUGAAUUUGUCAUUCAGAUGGACAGUUCUAACCCGUUCCAAUCCAAGGAUAGGAAAAGGCAAAAAAUCUAUACAAAUCUAAAUGAUGACUAUUGUACAAAAUUUCUAUGCUAAUCUGUGUCAGUCUCCUUUAGUGUAAGAUUUAGAGGCUAAUGAACUGAGAAGUAAUAUGCAAGAAAACAUCUUCAGUGCAAGGAAUUGUGAGGCCACCCAUCAGAUGAUUAUAUCCAAAUUCUUCCUCUGCUUGACUCAACAAGUUUUGAAAUAAAGGUUGGUUCAAGUAUGACAUGGGGAUAACAAACCGCUUAUUCUCCUCUCCGACGUACACCGCAAGAUAUCCCUUGGCCACAUUUGAUACUUUUGACGAUGUUUGGAUAUUGCUAGGGGAUGACCGUCUAAUAGAUGCAGGUAAACGGAAACCCAUCUUAAAUGUUUUGAUGAAUAAGCUGAAUUUUUCAAAUGUGAGUUUGAUUGCUUGAGUGGUUUGUGAUGGUUGUGAAGGAGGACACUAUAUUUAUAGUUUCCAAGAGUUUCUCCAAAUCCCUUGGCUAAAGAAAUUGUAAGUAAAAUUAUGGGGUCCAUGAGAUGAGAGAUCACAUGGUGUUGUCGUAGAUCCCUUUUUCAAGGCUCAUAACUCAAUACUUGUACAGUGCCCAGUCCUUUCUUCUUAGACAUGCAUCAGACAUGGCACAUGUUUUCUUCAUAUUGACAACAUAGCUUAAUGUUGAUAUUUGACUUGUAGAAUUAUGAGAAAAAUAUCAGUCAUACACUAACAGUAACACGCAAUGUAUGAGUUGUGCAUAUUGUUUUGUUCACAAGAGAUCGCAUGUAACUGUCUAGAGGUCUUUCUUAAGACUUGACAGAGAAUUAAAGUUAUGUCCCACACUACAAAGCUGUGUCAAUAUUAUAUCCAUUCAGAAAUCGAAAGUGAUAUGCACAGUAAGAAAUCAUACUGAUUUUUAAGCAAUUUUAAUAUAUUGAAUUUUAAUCAUAACUAUUUUCAAAGUCAGAUAUUUGAAUGGUUGAGGCUUGCUGAUAAUGCAAAAUUUUCUGUACGGACAAGGCCCUAUGUUUUUUCAAACUCGAGGAUCAUAGCCAAUUAGCCAUAAAUAAACUUAAUUAUGGUUGGACCCAGGGAACUGGCAGUGGGAGACUUUCCACAAUUGGGUUAAGAAGUGUGCAGAAAUGAAUUAUGUUGGUUGUUAAAAGUAUAAAAAGUCUUCCCCAGAGUGAUUAUACAGUUAUUUUGCACCAUCCUUGUAGCAAAAGGAGUUCAUGAUUUAUUGUCUGUUGAAGCGAGAAGUAGUAUGCAAAAAAACAUCUUCUGUGCAAGGAAUUGUGAGGCCACCCAUUGGAUGAUCAUAUCUGAAUUCUUCCUUUGCCUGACUCAACAAGUUUUGGAAUGAAGGUUGGUUCAAGUAUGUUGUGGGGAUCACAAACCUCUUCAUUUCCUCACCAAUGUACACUGCAAGAUAGCCCUUUGGCAUAUUUGUCACUUUGGAUGAUGUUUGGCUAUUGCUAAAUGAAGCCCGUCUAAUAGCUGAAGGUAAACGGAAACCCAUUUCAAAUGUUUUGAAGGACAAGCUAAAGUUCUCAAAACUUAAGGGAUAAAAAGGUAAGUGAGUGAUUUGUGAUGGCUGUGAAACAUAGUAGUGUAUUUUUAUAGUCUUCUUUCUAGAAUUUCUUCAAAUCCUUUUUGUUGAGAAAUUAAUUAUUGUUAAAGAAUGGGGUCCAUGAGAUGAGAGAUCCACAUGGUAUUUUCUUUGAAUGUCUCUCCAUCAUAUACCCCACCCUCUCAAAUGUUAGGCUAGCAGAUUAACCACUUGGAAGUCAAAUUGCUACUCAUAUUUUUGUAGACAUCUCACAUGUUCUCUUCAUAUCCAUAACGCGGUUCAAUACCGAUAUAUAGCCAGCCACCAAUAAUUCUCUUCUUAGCGUGUAUCAUAAUUGUUAGUUGGCUACAAAUCAUUAAUAUUAGGAGGCUACAAGGAACACAUAUAGAGGUCUUGGUCGGUCACUAGUCAUGCUGACCAGAAGAGAAGAUAGAUAGCAAUUGAACAACUCUUCAAAAGAGAUAAGUAUAUGUUUGGACCCACAAACAACUAGUAACAAAAAUAUGCUAUACUGAAUAUCGAGUUUGAAGUUAUCACUCCUAUUUAUUUUGUUCAAAAGAAAGUCUAGCAACACCUGAUUAUAUAAGGUGGACUAAAAUUCAAAACUUUAACUUGUUGUGCUGAUAAAGGUUGUUCAAAUGAUUUGUUUUUUUGCAUAUAAGAAUAAUUGGCUAGUAGAACCAUUUAGAAUAAUUAGCUAGUAGGAUAAAGUCUGGUGUUUAUUUUCCUACUCAAGUAUCAGGAGCCAUGGAUAAGUGCCAAAUUAUCAUACAGUUGAUUGCUUACUGCUGCUUUCAAAUAUCAGACUAUGUCAAGUUCUCGAUUUAAAAGCGAUAAGCUAUACAAUCUUUAACAAAAGGCCCACAGGAAUCAGCAGGCUAAUAAAGAGAUCAUUGCCUAGAUUGGAUGUGUUUCUAGCUUUUAGGAACUUUCAAGUUUACAAAUUAGAUGAAAUUAUUCAAUACUUGAAAUUCAUGUUUUACUGCUAUUCUUUCGUAGAUUAUGGCUUGACCUAGAGAACUGUUAGUGGAAGACUUUUCAAAUUGGGUCAAGAAGCGGUAAACUUGAAUUCUAUUAUUUGAUGGGAUUAGCUUCUGGUUUAAAAUCUAACUUGUGUGUCUACGAUAUCAAUACAUGCUCUGUGCAGACUCUGUUUAGUCAUGCAGUUCAGCCCCUGAAACAUGUGAGCUGCAAUAGUUUUGUCUUAUUUUGCAAUUUAAGAAUACCAAAUGCAGGUAGUUCAUGAUAAUCUUUUGAUUAAGAAAAUUCUUAAUAUACACUUUUAUGAAUGGUGAAGGCUGCUAGCAACUUAAAGUAAAGGGUUGCUGACUUGCCGCAAAUUCUUAAUAUACACUUUCUGACAACAUUUUUGAGUUUCGACAACCAAUCCAUGUGAAGAGCACGGGUCAUUGUUAUUGUAGUUUCUACCACUCUUUUUAAACAUCAAAAUAAAAAUGCAACAUAUUAUGUUAUUGGUAUGUUUCUUCAUUGUCAUUUCGUUUCUACUGGCUUGCUUAUUUAUCAUAGCUUAAUUAUUUCUCUUUCUAGAUGAAGAAACUUUUGAUAAAACACAAGACAUGUAACAAUUGUGAGCUUAGAUGCAUGAUAGCGCAUCAACUAUUAGAGUUUGGGUCAAUAUUUUUCAAGUCAGAAAUUUGCCGGCACAUUCGAGCUAUAAAAUUUUCUUACAGCAUGUAUCCUUAUGUCUUCAUUAUAAUAAAACCAGGAAAACUACAUACGGUUUCCUAUUUUUUUUUCUUAUCAAGGACCAGUUUUGUAAUUUAUAAAUAGAAGAAUAUAGCAGCCCAUUAAGUUGUGGAAUAUAUAUUGUCAUUAUGAUUAGGAAUAAAUUAGGAAUAAAUAAUAACAAAUAAUCUCUUCCUGAAUUUGUCAUUCAGAUGGACAGUUCUAACCCAUUCCAGUGGUAGGAAAAGGAAAAAAAAAACUUUACGAAUCUAGAUGAUGGCUAUUCUACAAAAUUUCUUUGCUGAUCUAUGUUAGUCUCCUUUAGUAUAAGAUUUAUAGACUAUUGAACUGAGAAGUAAUAUUCAAGAAAACAUCUUCAGUGCAAGGAAUUGUAAGGCCACCCAUUGGAUGAUCAUAUCCAAAUUCUUCCUCGGCUUGUCUCAACAAGUUUUGAAAUGAAGAUUGGUUCAAAUAUGACGUAGGGAUAACGAACCGCUUCCUUUCCUCUCCGACGUACACCGCAAGAUAGCCCUUUGCCACAUUCGAUACUUUUGAAGAUGUUUGGAUACUGCUAGGUGAUGGCCGUCUAAUAGCUGCAGAAUUAUGAGAAAAAUAUCAGCCAUACACUGGCUAAGGGGAUAAAAUGGGCCACACUGCCUAAACUAGUUUGAGGAUGCAAGUCCAGUUAUCUGGAUACAGAGAAGGGAUGAAGCUCUCAUAUAAUUCAUUCAGCACAGCCAAGCUUUUUGGUAACAACAACUGCUCUGCCAAGGUUAUAAGAGAACUGGCAGUGGGAGAUUUUCCAUAAUUGGGUUAAGAAGUGGAUCUAUUGCCUGUUGAAGCAAGAUGUAAUAUGCAAGAAAACAUCUUCCGUGCAAGGAAUUGUGAGGCCACCCAUUGGAUGAUCAUAUCCGAAUUCUUCCUCUGCUUGACUCAACAAACUUUGAAAUGAAGAUUGGUUCAGGUAUGACAUGGGGAUUACAAACCGCUUCAUUUGUUCUCCAACGUACAUUGCAAGAUAGCCCUUUGGCACAUUCGAUGUUUUCGAGGAUGUUUGGCUACUGCUAAAUGAAGUCCGUCUAAUAGCUGCAGGUAGUCGGAAACCCAUUUUAAAUAUUUUGAAGAACAAGCUGAAUUUUCAGAUGUAAGAAAAAUGUUUCUAAGUAUGAUUGCUUGAGUGAUUUGUGAUUGCUGUGAAGGAGUACACUAUAUUUAUAGUUUCCAAGAGUUUCUUUAAAUCCCUUUGCUAGAGAAAUGAUUUUUUAAAGAAUGGGGUCCAUGAGAUGAGAGAUCACAUGGUGUUGUCCUAGAUGCCUUUGUCAAGUCUCAAUAAAAGUGCAAACCCCAGUUUGUGAAUGAAAGGCUCUCAUGUUAAACUCAAUACUUGUACCAUUCCUACUCAUUUCUUUUUAGACAUGCAUCAGACAUGGCACAUGAUGCUCUCUUCACAUUGAUCAUACAAUGUUGAUAUCUUACCGGAAGAAUUAUGAGAAAUAUCAGUCAUAAAUUAAAACACUAUUUAUGAGUUGUGCAAUUUAUUGUUCUUGACUUAGCUCUUAAGAUGGUUCACAAGAGAUCACAUGAUAGUGUCUAGAAGUCUUUGAGAAAGUAAUUAAAUGUAUGUCGCACAUUAUAGAAGCUGUGCUAAUAUGAAAGUGCUAUGCACAUAUAAAGAAUACCUACUACAUUUCAAGCCUUUGCAAUGGCAUUAUUAUGAUCAUGUUUCAGACAGACUUAAAACAUCUGUAAUUUUCUUGAACAAAUAAUUUUGAUAGGUUUUUUUUAUCCUGGCAGUUUCUAAUUUUUAAACUCUAUUAGUGUAUUUUAUAAAUGAAUUUAGCAGACAUAGAGAAAGAUCUCUAUGGUCAAUUGUUGGGGACUUAAAAAAGAGGAUAGAAUCUCAAUUGUCUUUGGUUAAUUUUUAAACUCUAUUAGUGUAUUUUAUAAAUUAAUUAUUGUUAAAGAAUGGGGUCCCUGAGAUGAGAUCCACAUGGUGUUGUCUUUGAAUGUCUCUCCAUCAAGUUCAAUUAGAGUGCAUAUAUACACCCCACCUUCUCAACAAAAGGCUAGCAGAUUAACCACUUGGAGGUCAAAUGACUACUCAUAUUUUUCAUAUCCAUAACGCGGUUCAAUACCAAUAUGUAGCCAGCCACCAAUAAUUCUCUUCUUAUCGUGUAUCAUCAAUGUUAGUUGGCUCCAAAUCAUUAAUAUUAGGAGGCUACAAGGAAGGAACACAUAUAGAGGGCUUGGUCGGUCAUUAGUCAUGCUGACCAGAAGAGAAGAUAGAUAGCAAUUGAACAACUCUUCCAAAGAUAUAAGUAUAUCUUUGGACCCACAAACAACUACCAGUAACAAAAAUAUUGCUAUUCUGAGUAUUCAAUUGAAUUUCAAGUCAACAGUCCUAUUAUAUAUCUGCAGUCUUUCGAAUAUGCCUAGCAGCAAAUGCUCUGCCAAGAUUUAUAAACUGGACUAUAGCUCAAAACAUUAACUUCUGCUGAUAAAGACUGCUCUAUGAUUUGUUUUCUGCAUCUAAGAAUAAUUAGCUAGUAAAACCUUUAUUCAUGAAACUCUGUUGCUAAGACUAGUUAGCUAGUACGAUAAGGCCCAAUGUUUUUUCUAACUCAAGUAUCAAAGCCAUGAAUAAGUGCCAAACUAUCUGAGUUGUUGACCUAUGUUUUUUCUAACUCAAGUAUCAAAGCCAUGAAUAAGUGCCAAACUAUCUGAGUUGUUGACCUUUGUAUCAACCGAAAUGUGUUUCUUGCAUUUAGGAAAUUUCAAAUUUCCAAUUGAGAUGGUAUUAUUUGAUACUUGAAAUUCAUGUUUUACUACUAUUCUUUUUGUAGACUAUGGCUGGACCCCGAGAUCUGUUAAAUUCAUUUUUUACUAAUAUUCUUUUUGUAGAUUAUGGCUGGACCCCGAGAUCUGUUGGUCGGGGACUUUUCAUAAUUGGGUGAGAGGAUCUAUAGCCUGUUGAAGCGAGAAGUAAUAUGCAAGAAAACAUCUUCUGUGCAAGGAAUUGUGAGGCCACCCAUUGGAUGAUCAUAUCCGAACUCUUCCUUUGCUUGACUCAACAAAUUUUGGAAUGAAGGUUGGUUCAAGUAUGAUGUGGGGAUCACAAACCUCUUCAUUUCCUCACCAACGUACACUGCAAGGUAGCCCUUUGGCACAUGUGUCACUUUGGAUGAUGUUUGGCUAUUGCUAAAUGAAGCCCGUCUAAUAGCUGCAGGUAAACGGAAACCCAUUUCAAAUGUUUUGAAGAACAAGCUGAAUUUUCAGAUGUAAGAAAAAUGUUUCUAAGUAUGAUUGCUUGAGUGAUUUGUGAUUGUUGUGAAGGAGUACACUAUAUUUAUAGUUUCCAAGAGUUUCUUGAAAUCCCUUUGCUAGAGAAAUGACUUUUUAAUUGAUGGGGCCGCGAGAUGAGAGAUCACAUGGUGUUGUCCUAGAUGCCUUUGUCAAGUCUCAAUAAGAGUGCAAACCCCACUUUGUGAAUGAAAGGCUCAUGUUAAACUCAAUACUUGUACAAUUCCUACUCAUUUCUUAUUAGACAAGCAUUAGACACGGCACAUGUUGUUCUCUUCACAUUGAUCACACAAUGUUGAUAUCUUACCGGAAGAAUUGUGAGAAAUAUCAGUCAUAAAUUAAAACACUAUGAGUUGUGCAAUUUAUUGUUCUUGACUUAGUUCUUAGAUGGUUCACUAGAGAUCACAUGAUGGUGUCUAGAGGUGUUUGAGAAAGUAAUUAAAUGUAUGUCCCACAUUA